rnacentral:rRNA from 1 species
UGACCCGCCCACACGGGGAUGGAACCCGGCCCAGACUCCUACGGGAGGCAGCAGGGGGAAUAUUGCACAAUGGGGGCAAGCCUGAUGCAGCGACGCCGCUUGAAGGAUGACGGCCUUCGGGUUGUAAACUUCUUUCAGUAGGGAAGAAGCGAAAGUGACGGUACCUGCAGAAGAAGCGCCGGCUAACUACGUGCCAGCAGCCGCGGUAAUACGUAGGGCGCAAGCGUUAUCCGGAAUUAUUGGGCGUAAAGAGCUCGUAGGCGGUUUGUCGCGUCUGCCGUGAAAGUCCGGGGCUCAACUCCGGAUCUGCGGUGGGUACGGGCAGACUAGAGUGAUGUAGGGGAGACUGGAAUUCCUGGUGUAGCGGUGAAAUGCGCAGAUAUCAGGAGGAACACCGAUGGCGAAGGCAGGUCUCUGGGCAUUAACUGACGCUGAGGAGCGAAAGCAUGGGGAGCGAACAGGAUUAGAUACCCUGGUAGUCCAUGCCGUAAACGUUGGGCACUAGGUGUGGGGGACAUUCCACGUUUUCCGCGCCGUAGCUAACGCAUUAAGUGCCCCGCCUGGGGAGUACGGCCGCAAGGCUAAAACUCAAAGGAAUUGACGGGGGCCCGCACAAGCGGCGGAGCAUGCGGAUUAAUUCGAUGCAACGCGAAGAACCUUACCAAGGCUUGACAUGAACCGGAAAUACCUGGAGACAGGUGCCCCGCUUGCGGUCGGUUUACAGGUGGUGCAUGGUUGUCGUCAGCUCGUGUCGUGAGAUGUUGGGUUAAGUCCCGCAACGAGCGCAACCCUCGUUCUAUGUUGCCAGCACGUGAUGGUGGGGACUCAUAGGAGACUGCCGGGGUCAACUCGGAGGAAGGUGGGGACGACGUCAAAUCAUCAUGCCCCUUAUGUCUUGGGCUUCACGCAUGCUACAAUGGCCGGUACAAAGGGUUGCGAUACUGUGAGGUGGAGCUAAUCCCAAAAAGCCGGUCUCAGUUCGGAUUGGGGUCUGCAACUCGACCCCAUGAAGUCGGAGUCGCUAGUAAUCGCAGAUCAGCAACGCUGCGGUGAAUACGUUCCCGGGCCUUGUACACACCGCCCGUCAAGUCACGAAAGUUGGUAACACCCGAAGCCGGUGCGCACGUAGACCGCCUUGUGGGACGCAACAGCGCG